UUACAGCCAUAUCACCUUGAAACACCAGUUAUUGUAUGAUCACCGAAGUUAAGCAAUUCAGUGCCUGGUCAGUACCUAGAUGAAUGACCACUUUAGAAUAUCAGGUGCUGUAAG